rnacentral:rRNA from 1 species
UUCUUUGGAGAGUUUGAUCCUGGCUCAGGACGAACGCUGGCGGCGUGCCUAAUACAUGCAAGUCGAGCGGACCGGAUUGGGGCUUGCCUUGGUUCGGUCAGCGGCGGACGGGUGAGUAACACGUGGGCAACCUGCCCGCAAGACCGGGAUAACUCCGGGAAACCGGAGCUAAUACCGGAUAACACCGAAGACCGCAUGGUCUUCGGUUGAAAGGCGGCCUUUGGGCUGUCACUUGCGGAUGGGCCCGCGGCGCAUUAGCUAGUUGGUGAGGUAACGGCUCACCAAGGCGACGAUGCGUAGCCGGC